GGUUAGGAUUGGGUAAUCUGCAUCCUGAGGUUUAGAUCAGCACACACGUAUUUGUUGUAUCUAGUCCUUGGGAUGCAGAUUACCUUGUCCUUGCC